GAUGAACGCUGGCGGCGUGCCUAAUACAUGCAAGUCGAGCGAACGGACGAGAAGCUUGCUUUUCUGAUGUUAGCGGCGGACGGGUGAGUAACACGUGGAUAACCCACCUAUAAGACUGGGAUAACUUCGGGAAACCGGAGCUAAUACCGGAUAAUAUUUUGAACCGCAUGGGUCAAAAGUGAAAGACGGUCUUGCGGUCUCUUAUAGAUGGAUCCGCGCUGCAUUAGCUAGUUGGUAAGGUAACGGCUUACCAAGGCAACGAUGCAUAGCCGAACUGAGAGGGUGAUCGGCCACCCUGGAACUGAGACACGGUCCAGACUCCUACGGGAGGCAGCAGUAGGGAAUCGUCCGCAAUGGGCGAAAGCCUGACGCAGCAACGCCGCGUGAGUGAUGAAGGCCUCCCGAUCGUAAAGCUCUGUUAUUAGUGAAGAACAUAUGUGUCCUUAACUGUGCCCAUCUUGACGGUACCUAAUCAGAAAGCCCCGGCUAACUACGUG
rnacentral:rRNA from 1 species